AGUUGCUGCUUUGCUUGAAAAAUUUCUCAUUUAUUUUUCAUGUUGUGCUUAAUUUAGUAACUGAAGGAAGACAUCUUAUGGAACACUUGAACUGUCAUAAGGCUACACCAUAUCCCUGCAUAACAAAUUACCAAAUGCGGAUCAAGGAACGUCUACCAGGACAGCAGCUUAUUUUUUACUUUAUUUAUAAAAAUUUAACUUAAAAUUUUAAAUAAAUACAACAAAAACACAUGUUAUUUCAUUAUAA